GAUACUGCAAGAUGGAAAAUACCCUUUUUCUUCCAGAACAGAACAAAGCGUUUGCCCCAUAUGGUACAGGCAGCAGAUCCACUGCCUCCGUUUGCAGAAGCUGAGGCUCCCUCUUGUCUCCUCCAAGAAGCAGGGCUUCCUCGUGUGUCUGUGUGUCCCGCUGUCUGCAGGCACACGUGACUGGGGAAUCCCAUCUGCCUGCACACACGCCCACUCGUGACAGAUGAAUUCAUCUACAGUGUUGCCAGGAGCAGCCUCACAGCCUCGUGAGCAAGAAGACAGUGAUGAAUUAUUCAUGUAGAGAGGCUGGCCCCAUCCUCCCAGGGUGGGGCAGCCUGGAGAAGUGAGCCCCUCUGCUGCAGGGUUUGAUCCUCUACAUAAAAGAAACGGAUAGCACAGAUCAAGUGGAAUACCUGCCUUAUACCCCUUUGGGAACCCAACCUACACUGUGCCAUUUAAUUUCAUUUUCCUAUGGGGAAGAAGUAGCCAUUGUCCCAUUUCUAAAUAAGGAAUCAGCAGUACGGAGUUGGGGACACCAGGUAUAGUCGUCCCUGCCAGGGUCCUCUGGUCUCCAGAACAGAGACUUUCCUCUGCACAUCAGCAUGGGAGUUAGGGAAACCCCAGGAAAGCCCAGGGAUACCCCACAGCAGCCAUGCCGGGAAAUGUCUGAACUCCCCUCACCCCACUGCCAUUAGCAUUCAGAGAAGCACUGCAUCAGGCAGGAGGAUGCCGGCAGAGUCCUAGCCAGACCCUGUGUGUCAAAUGCAGCUGCUAUUUCCAGCAGCUUCUCUAUUAAGAAGCCCUGUCACAUUUGAUAUGGUUGAAUUAAUGAUUCCAGAGGGCGUGCAGCCAGUGAAUAGGAGUUACAAGGUGCUGGAGAGGAAGUGUGAGAAAGAUCCCAAGAAGCCUUACCUUGACACAGGACACAGCUGGUCAUGUCCAAUUUCAUGACUCCAUCACAGGAAAAGCAAAGGGAUGAGGGAUGCAGUCCUCUCAAGAGAAGAAUAAAAACGAAAGUGAGCCUGAAGCAGAAGAUGCUAUGGAGGAUGCCAAGAGAUUGUGGCUGUGUAACAAAGUAAAGGUUAACUGGAGGAAGUGGGUCACUAGAGGGCAGGUGUCGACAUCUACAGCUCAGCCCCACCUGGAUUUCUCUGCUUCCUGGCUACUGGUGUGAGGUAACAGGCACAUCACCCUCCUGUGGCCACAGCCACAAGCCACUCUGACUGCAUUUCCUCUGGACUACAUUUCCUCAAGCGAUGAGCCAGAAUAAACCUCUCCUCCCUCUGC